GACGAACGCUGGCGGCGUGCUUAACACAUGCAAGUCGAACGGAAAGGCCCUGCUUUUGUGGGUUGCUCGAGUGGCGAACGGGUGAGUAACACUUGAGUAACCUGCCCUUGUCUUUGGGAUAACUUCAGUAAACUGGGGCUAAUACCGGAUAGGAGCUCCUGCUGCAUGGUGGGGUUUGGAAAGUUUCGGCGGUUGCGUAUGGACUCGCGGCGUAUCAGCUUGUUGGUGGGGUAGUGGCUUACCAAGGCUUUGACGGGUAGCCGGCCUGAGAGGGUGACCGGCCACAUUGGGACUGAGAUACGGCCGAGACUCCUACGGGAGGAAGCAGUGGGGAAUAUUGCACAAUGGGCGGAAGCCUGAUGCAGCAACGCAGCGUGCGGGAUGACGGCCUUCGGGUUGUAAACCGCUUUCGCCUGUGACGAAGCGUGAGUGACGGUAAUGGGUAAAGAAGCACCGGAUAACUACGUG
rnacentral:rRNA from 1 species